rnacentral:rRNA from 1 species
GCUCUUAAUGGAGCAAGUCUGAGGAGCAACGCCGCGUGAGUGAAGAAGGGUUUCGGCUCGUAAAGCUCUGUUGUUGGUGAAGAAGGACAGGGGUAGUAACUGACCUUUGUUUGACGGUAAUCAAUUAGAAAGUCACGGCUAACUACGUGCCAGCAGCCGCGGUAAUACA